rnacentral:rRNA from 1 species
GAUGAACGCUGGCGGCGUGCCUAAUACAUGCAAGUCGAGCGAAUGGAUUAAGAGCUUGCUCUUAUGAAGUUAGCGGCGGACGGGUGAGUAACACGUGGGUAACCUGCCCAUAAGACUGGGAUAACUCCGGGAAACCGGGGCUAAUACCGGAUAACAUUUUGAACCGCAUGGUUCGAAAUUGAAAGGCGGCUUCGGCUGUCACUUAUGGAUGGACCCGCGUCGCAUUAGCUAGUUGGUGAGGUAACGGCUCUCCAAGGCAACGAUGCGUAGCCGACCUGAGAGGGUGAUGGGCCACACUGGGACUGAGACACGGCCCAGACUCCAACGGGAGGCAGCAGUAGGGAAGCUUCCGCAAUGGACGAAAGUCUGACGGAGCAACGCCGCGUGAGUGAUGAAGGCCUUCGGGUCGUAAAACUCUGUUGUUAGGGAAGAACAAGUGCUAGUUGAAUAAGCUGGCACCUUGACGGUACCUAACCAGAAAGCCACGGCUAACUACGUGCCAGCAGCCGCCGUAA